rnacentral:rRNA from 1 species
UACGUAGGGUGCGAGCGUUAAUCGGAAUUACUGGGCGUAAAGCGCGCGCAGGCGGUUCCUCAAGUCAGAGGUGAAAGCCCAGAGCUCAACUCUGGAAUGGCCUUUGAGACUAGAGAACUAGGGUACGGGAGAGGUGAGUGGAAUUCCGAGUGUAGAGGUGAAAUUCGUAGAUAUUCGGAAGAACACCAGUGGCGAAGGCGGCUCACUGGCCCGUUACCGACGCUCAGGCGCGACAGCGUGGGGAGCAAACAGG